AAAUUGAAGAGUUUGAUCAUGGCUCAGAUUGAACGCUGGCGGCAGGCCUAACACAUGCAAGUCGAACGGUAACAGGAAGCAGCUUGCUGCUUUGCUGACGAGUGGCGGACGGGUGAGUAAUGUCUGGGAAACUGCCUGAUGGAGGGGGAUAACUACUGGAAACGGUAGCUAAUACCGCAUAACGUCGCAAGACCAAAGAGGGGGACCUUCGGGCCUCUUGCCAUCGGAUGUGCCCAGAUGGGAUUAGCUAGUAGGUGGGGUAACGGCUCACCUAGGCGACGAUCCCUAGCUGGUCUGA
rnacentral:rRNA from 1 species